ACGGCCACAUCACUUUGAAAACACCGGUUCCUGUGCGAUCCCCGAGUUAAGCAACGCCGAGCCUGGUCAGUACCUAAAUGGGUAACCGUUUGGGAAUACCAGGUGCUGUAAG